UACGUAGGGUGCGAGCGUUGUCCGGAAUUACUGGGCGUAAAGAGCUCGUAGGUGGUUUGUCGCGUUGUUCGUGAAAUUCCCUGGCUUAACUGGGGGUGUGCGGGCGAUACGGGCAGACUGGAGUACUGCAGGGGAGACUGGAAUUCCUGGUGUAGCGGUGGAAUGCGCAGAUAUCAGGAGGAACACCGGUGGCGAAGGCGGGUCUCUGGGCAGUAACUGACGCUGAGGCACGAAAGCGUGGGGAGCAAACAGG
rnacentral:rRNA from 1 species